GACGAACGCUGGCGGCGUGCUUAACACAUGCAAGUCGAACGAUGAAGUUCCUUCGGGAAUGGAUUAGUGGCGAACGGGUGAGAAACACGUGAGAAACCUGCCUUUCAUUUUGGGAUAACUCCGGGAAACCGGAGCUAACACCGAAUACUCCGUCUCGGCGGCAUCGCUGAGCCGGGAAAAAAUUAUGAUGAAAGAUGGUCUCGCGGCCUAUCAGCUAGUUGGUGAGGUAAUGGCUCACCAAGGCGACGACGGGUAGCCGGCCUGAGAGGGCGACCGGCCACACUGGGACUGAGACACGGCCCAGACCCCUACGGGAGGCAGCAGUGGGGAAUAUUGGGCAAUGGGCGCAAGCCUGACCCAGCGACGCCGCGUGAGGGAUGAAGGCCUUCGGGUUGUAAACCUCUUUCAGUAGGGAAGAAGCGAAAGUGACGGUACCUAAAGAAGAAGCACCGGCUAACUAUGUGCCAGCCGCCGCAGUAA
rnacentral:rRNA from 1 species